GCUGCGGGCCCUCCCCUCCCCCACGGUGCCCCGUCUGGCCAAAGGACAAAUCUCAAGGGGAAACCUGCAAAGACAAACAAGGAGCAGUGACUUCAUUAUCGUCGUUAAUUUGCCACUUCAGUUCCUCCCACAAGGGUCAGAGCCGGCACGGCUUGAACUCAGGACUGAGGCGGAGGCCGAGCCGGCCGCCUGCCUUUUCCGCCUUAAGCCUCUCCCACAGCCACUCGGCCUCCCCUCCUCCUCCCGGCCUUCAUUUCUCUGCAGGGGGUCAGGCUCCGGGUUUUUCUCUUCCGUUUCGCAGUCCUCGCAGCCUCAGCCUACCGCCCUCCUUUUUCAUUUAAAUUAUUUGGCCUUCCCUCCGGCUCUCCUGGCUCCAAAGGCCUGAAUGAACCUGGCCCUUUGCAUAAGAUAGCUUCUGUCACAUGGAUGAAAACUGCCUCCUGAAGCACACUGAAUCCAAAUAUGGCCCCUGACCAGUGACUACCACAAUCAUCAAUC
ensembl:lncRNA